UGCAAGUCGAGCGAUAUUCGGGGGCAACCCUGAUGAAAGCGGCGGACUGGUGAGUAACGCGUGGGUGACCUGCCUUGAGGAUGGGGAUAGCUGUUAGAAAUAGCAGGUAAUACCGAAUACGUUCACAAUAUUAUGAUUAUGUGAAGAAAGGAGCUACGGCUCCGCCUUGAGAUGGGCCCGCGUCCCAUUAGCUAGUUGGUGAGGUAAAGGCCCACCAAGGCGAAGAUGGGUAGCCGGCCUGAGAGGGUGAACGGCCACACUGGGACUGAGAUACGGCCCAGACUCCUACGGGAGGCAGCAGCUAAGAAUAUUCCACAAUGGACGAAAGUCUGAUGGAGCGACGCCGCGUGGAUGACGAAGGCCGAAAGGUUGUAAAAUCCUUUUGCGGAUGAAGAAUAAGCGGUGGAGGGAAUGCCAUCGUGAUGACGUUAGUCCGCGAAUAAGCCCCGGCUAAUUACGUGCCAGCAGCCGCGGUAACACGUAAGGGGCAAGCGUUGUUCGGAAUUAUUGGGCGUAAAGGGCGCGUAGGCGGCCGCGUAAGUCUGAUGUGAAAACCCCGGGCUCAACCCGGGAACUGCAUUGGAAACUGUGCGGCUUGAGUCACGGAGGGGAAAUCGGAAUUCCUGGUGUAGGGGUGAAAUCUGUAGAUAUCAGGAAGAACACCGGUGGCGAAGGCGGAUUUCCAGCCGAUGACUGACGCUGAGGCGCGAAAGUGCGGGGAGCAAACAGGAUUAGACACCCUGGUAGUCCGCACUAUAAACGAUGCACACUAGGUGUCGGGACGAGCGUCUCGGCGCCGGAGCGAACGCGAUAAGUGUGCCGCCUGGGGAGUAUGCCCGCAAGGGUGAAACUCAAAGGAAUUGACG
rnacentral:rRNA from 1 species